UCCUCAUUUGGGAAGCAGCAUGAUAAAAACCCAUCACCACAAUGAAGAAGUGGAGGCUGCAGCAGCGAUGAUCAUAGGUUCCUGUGGAGAAGACAAUGCACCUGCCGCACCACAAGCUGUCAGAAGCCCCCAGAAAGGGACAUAGACUUGUCGGAGCUCAGCCCAAUCCCAUCACUAACAUAGAGCCACCACCCACCCCAGCCCAGCUGUCUGACUUGUCCCAGAGCGCUUCUUCAAGCUAAUGGUGCCUGCCCAGGGCCCCAGGACUGCUGGCUUCUUGAGAGGCAAUUUUAUUUGGAAUGAAUCCCCGGGCAAUGCAAAAAAGCAAGCAAACAAAUAAAAAGGCUGGAGCAUCUAGUGUGACUGACUUUGGAGAUGGUGCAAGAAAGUGGAAGCAGGAAGGCGGAAGUCAGACACAUGGCAGUUCUCUUUGGCCAGGUCCCUCACUCUUUCUUACCUUUGUCUUUCAGAUCCCACCCAGUGGAACUGACAGAGCACCUGCCAUGGGCUUGGCAGACACAUUGGCAGAGAGAACAGCAUGCGCAAAAGAAUGACAGCAAGGCUGGAGAAUCUAGAGGAGGCUGGAAUCAGUUCAGUAUGGCUGGAACCCAGAGACCAUCGAG